ACCAAUCUCUUUCAAAAUGUCUUUAAGAAAUAAAAGCUUAUUAACAAACAUUUCUGAAAAGUGAUAUAUAGCGUUUUGGAAUGAAACUCUUGUUUCCCCAUCUGAGCUCAGAGUAGAUGAGAGAUGUAAUGUUUGUCUCUGUUGUGUUAAAGUCUAAUCAAGCGGAAGAGACCAGCCUCCCCUGUACCCAGCUGUGUGUCCAUGAAGAGUGACUGCUCUAUGGAACCCCCUAUAUUCUUUAGAGAGGGAGACUUUUCUACUGAACAAAGAAACCAACAGGAGAGAUCCGAGUCAGAUAUUGUCAGUGGUCAGUCUCCCCCGAGUCAUCAAGCAGACCUGGCCUCCAUAUUCAGUGCAGCCUGGGAAAGAACUGAAAAAACUCACUAAAGAGUCAAGACAGAGACACCAGAAAGACCCAAGAAGACUUGGACGC